UACGGAGGGUGCAAGCGUUAUCCGGAAUCACUGGGUUUAAAGGGUGCGUAGGCGGAGCGAUAAGUCAGAGGUGAAAUGUAAUCGCUUAACGAUUAAAUUGCCUUUGAUACUGUUGUUCUUGAAUUUGGUUGAGGUUGGCGGAAUGAGACAUGUAGCGGUGAAAUGCAUAGAUAUGUCUUAGAACACCGAUUGCGAAGGCAGCUGACUGGACCAUAAUUGACGCUGAGGCACGAAAGCGUGGGGAUCAAACAGG
rnacentral:rRNA from 1 species